AGAUUCCCAGCCAUAUGAAGACACCCUAGCUGGACGAUCAGUCCUUGUCAAAAGUCUGACCCCUCAAACUCUACAGCCUCAAUGGACCAGACCCUACCCGGUCAUUUAUAGCACACCAACUGCCGUCCAUCUGCAGGACCCUCUCCAUUGGGUUCACCAUUCCAGAAUAAAGCCAUGCCCAUCAGACAGCCAGCUUGAUCUCUCCUCUUCCUCCUGGAAGCCACAAGAUUAGGCCGAGAGCCGAUCAGACAAACAACCUACAACCCUUAAGCUCCUGGCAGCGCCCAGCCAAGGCCAUGCUUCCUUGCAACACUCCUUCCAAAUGGCCAUCCCAGCAUGCUUCCAAGCAGGCUUCAUCCGUUCCUCUGGACCCUCAUCUCUUAAGACCUGCCGCCUAUAAAAAGGAUUAUAUCUUGAGACCCUAUCCUCUAAAAUUUUUUCCACACCCAAAACAAAAAAUCUCUGGGUCAAAAGUCUAAAACGCUUAGGCUGGCAACCAUCAGAUCCUUGCCCAUGGUGUCCUCAAGCCUACUCUCAUGAAAUGGACAACAGUACACGCAUAUGGGGCCAGUUCCACAUAUUUGGCAACCAGACCAGCAUCCAGGACAACACAAAGUAUGUUGUUUGUUGUUAGAGGGCUUGGGACAUUUCACUCUUUGCCAGCCUCAGCUUAAUCCAGGAGACAAAGAUUAUUUUCCUUAUUAUCUCUUCUGCAUAGGAUCUGCAAUCAGAACUAUUGAACUUCUCCAUUCAGACCGCCACUCACACCUAUGGGAAAAGGGUAAUGUAUCAUCGGCUUAGCAACAGGGAAUACUAUUCGUAUGAUGGAAAAUGGGGACAAAAGGCUUUGGUACAUAAAACAUUAUUCCUUCCUUGGCCUAAAAACUCAUCGCCACCUACAUUAAAGCUAAUAUGCCUGAUUACUGUUUUUAGAGAACUUAUUUUAUUAGGGCAGUUCCAAGCUCAAAAAUACGCUAACUGGCACCUUGUUAGCUACAUAAAAAUGCACCCUAGACCCGAAACUUACUAGACUCAUUAUAAAAUUUUCUUUAAGGUGUCCACGCAGUCCCUGGUCACACUUGAAGCAGUCCGGAGAAAUAUCAGCCCUACCCCAGUAAUCCCCAGAAGGAACUUACACUUUUUUUUAAUCUUUUCCUACAACUUCAUAUUUUAUAAAUAAAAAGACAAAAAUGUCAGGCCUGUGAGCUGAAGCUUAGCCAUUGUAACCCCUGUGACCUGCACAUAUCCGUCCAGGUGGCCUGCAGGAGCCAAGAAGUCUGGAGCAGCCGAAAAACCACAAAGAAGUGAAACAGCCAGUUCCUGCCUUAACUAAUUAACCCACCUUACGACAUUCCACCAUUAUGACUUGUCCACCAUUAUGACUUGUUCCUGCCCUGCCCCAACUGAUCAAUCAACCCUGUGACAUUCUUCUCCUGGACAAUGAGUCCCAUCAUCUCUCCACCAUGCACCUUGUGACCCCCUCCUCUGCUGAGGAUAACCACCUUUAACUGUAACUUUCCACGCCUACCCAAGCCCUAUAAAGCUGCCCCUCUCCUAUCUCCCUUCACUGACUCUCUUUUCGGACUCAGCCCACUUGCACCCAAGUGAAUUAACAGCCUUGUUGCUCACACAAAGCCUGAUUGGGUGUCUUCUAUACGGACACGCGUGACAGGAACCUCAACCCAAAGGCAGUCUGAUGAGGUGUCUAAGAUAAAAGUAGCGGCACAAAGGCUUUUGUAAACAGAGGCGUUUCAUGUGGUUUUCCUUUCCUUUCCUUAUAUGUGAAAAGGUGACAGAAAAGAAAUCUUCCUAAAAGAGUCAGCCACUGCUCUGUGGAACGAUGAUCAUUUAAAUGCCACGUCGAUUUGAAACGUACAACAAAGGGACUAACAGUUGAGAACCAUGUGGAUUGCAGUGGAGACGCUGGCGUUAGAGAAUGCGGGGAGGGAAACGUUCAUUACAAGAUUUACGGCCAGCCCAAGGGGGAGCGAGGCUGGGGGACCGGGUCGCGGAGACCCGGCUUCGCACACCUUUUGGAAGACUCAGGGAGAAGCGGGGGCCGCCUUCGGGGGGAAAGGCGGGACUGGGGAGCCCACAGGCCAUGGCUCCUCCCACAGGAUCCCCAGGCCGGAGGCGGGAUCCCCCCAUGAUCCUCCCGUGGCCCCCGCACAAUCUGGGGAGAUGCGGAGCUGCCCAGAGAGGGCUCUGGGGCGACAGUCACUGCGCAGGGACAGGACAGGACUCCCGGAGUCCCAGCUGCCGGCCCAGCCCCACCCUGCGGCCGAGAGGACCGAGGGCCGAGCUGCUCCAGGGGAACUCGGGUCCCAGACCCCGGAGUCGCAGCGGACAGGCCCGGGUCCCGCCACAGCCAGAUCCGGCUGGUUCCACCAGCUCCUCCUCCGGUCUCGGGACGUCCGGCCCCGCACACUCAGCAUUUCCGGCUUCCGGGUGUCCCGGCGUCCUCCCCUGGGCCUGCUCACGUCGCAGAGGGGCGGCGACGGGGAUUAGAGGGGAGGAGGGCCUGCGCGAGCAGCAAAGACCCCAAACCCCAAAAAACAAAGAAACCGCCAGAAACUGAAGCUUCCACAGCCCGCCACGUCCCCCGGCUACGGCUACGCUCCUGAUUGGAUAGUUAGUACGGCCCCUAGUGCCCCUGAUUGGAUACCGCUUCAGGUCCCGCCCCCUGGGGUUAGAAAGACAGGAGACCCGAGAAGACACUUGGCUGCGUGGAGCCCAAAUGGGCGGUUCCUGGCAACUGGGCUUGUUGUCUUCCUCGUGUCAGGAUGUAAAAAGAAAAGUAGAGGUUCUUCUUCAAAGACUUCCUUCUUCAUCUAAUUAAGAAUAAAUAGUGUUUGAAAUGCUUGGUUUUUGGUGCCAUAAAGAAAUAGCACUUUAACAUUAAUUUAUUUAGCAAGGCCAUUUUUACUCCCUGCAGAAAGGGUACACUCGCCAGCAGUUUUGCCACGAGCGUACACCGAGCAAAGGAGACAGGGUCAUUUAUAACCUGAGGUGUCCACCCUACUGCUGUGUCCAGUUUCCAUUGGCUGGAACGGGACCUCACAUUCUGUGUUUGUCCUGAUUGGCUAGCAACUUAGAACGUUUUAAAAGAGGCAAAGGUGGAGGAGAACAAAGGAAGAAGGAAGUAACUUGUGGAAUGCUGAGAAAGGUAAAAACACCUUCAAAUAAGGAAGAGGAAGAGGCUAUGACUUAAUGCUUGCUUGGACCAGUAUAAGCAUACCAGGGCAAAUAUUUGGGCUAAAUUGUGGG
rnacentral:lncRNA from 1 species